rnacentral:rRNA from 1 species
UACGCAGGCGGAAAAUUAAGUCAGUGGUGAAAUCCUGCAGCUUAACUGUAGAACUGUCAUUGAUACUGGUUUUCUUGAAUGUAGUUGAGGUAGGCGGAAUGUGUAAUGUAGCGGUGAAAUGCUUAGAUAUUACACAGAACACCGAUUGCGAAGGCAGCUUACUAAGCUACUAUUGACACUGAGGGACGAAAGCGUGGGGAGCGAACAGGAUUAGAUACCCUGGUAGUCC